CGGCUUGUGGCGAAGUGGUAUCGCGUUCCCCUCCGAAGGGAAAGGUCUCAAGUUCAAACCUUGACUGGCUCGA